rnacentral:rRNA from 1 species
AUUGAACGCUGGCGGCAUGCUUUACACAUGCGAGUCGAACGGCAGCGCGGGGCAACCUGGCGGCGAGUGGCGAACGGGUGAGUAAUAUAUCGGAACGUACCCAGGAGUGGGGGAUAACGUAGCGAAAGUUACGCUAAUACCGCAUACGAUCUACGGAUGAAAGCGGGGGAUCUUCGGACCUCGCGCUCAUGGAGCGGCCGAUAUCUGAUUAGCUAGUUGGUGAGGUAAAGGCUCACCAAGGCGACGAUCAGUAGCUGGUCUGAGAGGACGACCAGCCACACUGGGACUGAGACACGGCCCAGACUCCUACGGGAGGCAGCAGUGGGGAAUUUUGGACAAUGGGCGCAAGCCUGAUCCAGCAAUGCCGCGUGAGUGAAGAAGGCCUUCGGGUUGUAAAGCUCUUUUGUCAGGGAAGAAACGGCCGGGGCUAAUACCUUUGGCUAAUGACGGUACCUGAAGAAUAAGCACCGGCUAACUACGUGCCAGCCGCCGCAGUAAGAC